GCCCGCGGAGGCUCAAAUGGGCCAGGCUAGGCUGCGCGGCCGGAGAGCGGGGCUUCGGGACUGACGUCUCCGGUCUCGUCUGCUGCUCCUGCUGCUGCUCCUCCUCCGGCUCCGGCUCGGGGCUCGUGCUUCUCCUCUUCUCCCGGCGAAGAAGAGGAGGGCCCCGGCUGGGCGGCAGGGGCAGCGGCGAGGGUCCUGCUGCUGCUUCUGCUGCUGGAUGCCCGGCCCGGGGAUGGAGCCGGCGCCGGCGCGGCAGGAGGGAGGGCGGCUGCGGAGGGCAUGAGAAGGAGGAAGCGCCGAGGCGGAGGCAGGCAGAGGGCGAGGCGGGCGAGGCAGGCAGGGCGGGCGCAGCUCCGCAGCUAGGAUGAGGCUCUUGUCCGCCGGGCGGUAGUACUAUGAUUUGGUAUGUGGCCACUUUGAUUGCAAGUGUGAUCAUCAGCAGCGCCCGAGGACUGGCAGCCGCUCAAGGUGCCCACGGCUUAAGGGAGGAACCCGAGUUUGUGACGGCUCGUGCUGGGGAGAGUGUGAUUCUAGGAUGCGACGUGAUCCAUCCGCUUACAGGCCAGCCCCCUCCUUACGUGGUGGAGUGGUUCAAGUUUGGAGUGCCUAUACCCAUCUUCAUCAAAUUUGGGUUCUACCCUCCCCAUGUGGACCCAGAAUAUGCCGGCCGUGCCAAUCUUCAUGACAAGGCAUCUCUGCGCAUUGAGCAGGUUCGCUCUGAGGACCAGGGCUGGUAUGAGUGCAAAGUGCUUAUGCUGGAUCAGCAGUACGACACGUUCCACAACGGCAGCUGGGUGCAUCUCACUGUCAACGCUCCUCCCACCUUCACAGAGACUCCCCCCCAAUACGUAGAGGCGAAAGAAGGCAGCAGCAUCACCCUGACUUGCAUGGCGUUUGGGAACCCAAAACCAACUGUGACCUGGCUAAAAGAAGGGGACUACUUGAAUGACAAUAAGAAAUAUCAGGUUAGUGAUGGGAGUCUGACCGUUACUUCUAUCAGUCGGAAUGACCGUGGCGCUUACACCUGCCGAGCGUACAGUAUCCAGGGAGAGGCCAUGCACACUACCCGCUUGCUUGUCCAAGGGCCACCUUUUAUUGUUUCCCCUCCGGAGAACACCACCGUUAACAUCUCCCAAGAUGCCAUGUUCACCUGCCAGGCCGAGGCAUAUCCAGGCAACCUGACCUACACUUGGUACUGGGAAGAAGAGAAUGUCUACUUUAAGAAUGACCUAAAGCUGAGGGUCCGGAUCCUGAUUGAUGGGACUCUGAUCAUCUUCCGAGUCAAGCCUGAAGAUGCUGGCAAAUACACAUGCAUUCCAAGCAACAGUCUCGGCCGCUCGCCUUCAGCCUCUGCCUACCUGACAGUGCAAUAUCCUGCUCGGGUGGUAAACAUGCCACCUAUCAUAUAUGUUCCUGUUGGGAUACAUGGAUACAUCCGCUGCCCGGUUGAGGCCGAACCUCCAGUUACUCUGGUGAAAUGGAACAAAGAUGGACGCCCUUUGCACAUUGAAAAGUUUUCUGGCUGGAAUUUGAUGGAUGAUGGCUCAAUUCGAAUAGAAGAGGCAACCGAAGAAGCUCUUGGCACAUACACCUGCGUGCCUUAUAAUGCCCUGGGUACGAUGGGCCAGUCCGCCCCUGCUCGACUGGUGCUGAAGGACCCACCCUAUUUCACGGUGCUACCAGGCUGGGAGUACAGACAAGAGGCAGGGAGGGAGCUGCUGAUACCUUGUGCCGCUUCAGGAGACCCCUUUCCUGUCAUCACCUGGAGAAAGGUAGGGAAGCCCAGUAGAAGCAAGCACAACACUCUUCCAAGCGGCAGCCUCCAGUUCCGAUCCCUGAGCAAGGAUGACCACGGAGAAUGGGAAUGUGUCGCUACCAACAUCGUCACAAGCAUAACUGCUAGCACUCAUCUGACAGUCAUCGGCACAAGCCCUCACGCCCCGAGCAAUGUGCGCAUCUCCGUCUCCAUGAACUCUGCCAACGUUUCCUGGGAGCCGGGCUAUGACGGCGGAUAUGAACAGACAUUCUCAGUUUGGUACGGCCCUCUGAUGAAGCGGGCACAAUUUGGACCUCACGACUGGCUCUCUCUUCCUGCACCAGCUGGUCCCAGCUGGAUGAUCAUGGAGAAUCUAGAACCAGAGACUGCCUACCAGUUCAGUGUCUUGGCCCAAAACAAGCUGGGCACAAGUUCCUUCAGUGAGGUGGUCACUGUGAACACUUUAGCAUUCCCUGUCACAACUCCAGAACCCCUGGUGCUGGUUACUCCACCAAGGUGCCUAACUGCCAAUCGGACACAGCAAGGAGUCCUGUUGUCAUGGCUUCCUCCAGCCAAUCACAGCUUUCCAAUUGACCGCUAUGUCAUGGAAUUUCGAAUAGGAGAACGAUGGGAGAUUUUAGAUGAUGCCAUCUUGGGAAGCGACAGUGAAUUUUUUGCCAAGGAUUUGACUCAGGACACAUGGUAUGAAUUCCGAGUUCUGGCUGUCAUGCAAGACCUCAUUAGUGAACCCAGCAACAUUGCCGGUGUAUCCAGCACAGACAUAUUUCCACAGCCAGACUUGAUAGAUGAAGGUUUGGCCCGGCCUGUGCUGGCAGGGAUCGUUGCCACCAUUUGCUUUCUUGCCGCUGCUAUUCUAUUCAGCACUCUAGCUGCCUGCUUUGUUAACAAGCAACGCAAAAGGAAACUCAAGCGCAAAAAAGACCCUCCUCUUUCAAUAACCCACUGCCGGAAAAGUCUGGAGUCUCCGUUGUCCUCUGGUAAAGUAAGUCCUGAGAGCAUCCGCACACUUCGGCCCCCUUCGGAGUCCUCUGAUGACCAAGGUCCUCCUGGAAAGAGGAUGCUGAGCCCCAGCAAGGAGAAAGAGCUAUCUCUGUAUAAGAAGACCAAGCGAGCCAUCAGUAGCAAGAAAUACAGUGUUUCCAAGGCUGAGGCAGAAGCGGAGGCAACCACCCCCAUUGAACUGAUCAGCCGUGGGCCAGAUGGACGCUUUGUCAUGGACCCUUCAGAGAUGGAGCCCUCGCUUAAGACCCGGAGGAUAGAGGGGUUCCCCUUUGUGGAGGAGACGGACAUGUACCCAGAGUUCCGUCAGUCAGAUGAAGAAAACGAUGAUCCCAUCAUGCCUGCCUCUGUGACAGCCCUCAAAUCCCAACUGACACCACUUUCCUCCAGCCAGGAGUCUUACCUUCAGCCACCAGCAUACAGUCCCAGAUUCCAUCGGGGCUUGGAGGGGGCAAGCACUUUGGAGAGCCGCCUCCAAGCCACUGGUCAGGCGAGACCUCCAGCCCCCCGGCCAUUCCACCACGGCCCAUAUUAUGGUUACCUCAGCAGCAGCAGCCCGGGGGAAAUGGACCCGCCACCUUUCUACAUGCCAGAGGUCAGCCCUCUCAGUUCAGUCAUGUCCUCUCCUCCUCUGCACCCCGAGGGGCCAUUUGGCCACCCCACCAUCCCUGAGGAGAAUGGAGAGAAUGCUUCCAACAGCACACUGCCCCUGACCCAGACUCCAACGGGGGGCCGAUCCCCUGAACCAUGGGGCAGAGCUGAGUUCCCUUUCAGUGGCCUGGAGUCUUCGCCUAUCAUGUUUCCUCACCAACUCCAUCAGUGUGAAAUGGCUGAGAGUGUGCAGCCAAAGGCCAGUCUUCCCAGGGGACCGCCACCUUCCUCCCUCCAGGUCCCCGCAGCCUACUCUGGCAUGCUGGCCCUGGAGGCACCAAAGAGUUGGACUGGCAAGUCACCGAGCAGGAGCCAAGCUUCCAUGCCCACCGCCACCAAAUGGCAGGACAAACCUAUGCAAUCAAUGGCGAGUCAAGGGCAGUUACGACACACCAGUCAAGGCAUGGGCAUACCUGUGUUGCCUUACCACGGGCCGUCCGAGUCAGUCAGCCACAGUGGCACAAGCACAUUCGGCUUGGACACCAGGUGGUACGACCCCCAACCUAGACCUCGGCCCAGCCCUCGGCAAAUCAGGAGGGCUGAGCCCAGUUUACAUCAGGUGGUGCUACAACCUUCAAGGCUUUCCCCCCUGACUCAAAGUCCCCUCAGCUCCCGCACUAGCUCCCCAGAGCUGACAGCUCGUGCCAGACCACGACCGGGCUUCAUCCAGCAAGCAGAGAUGUCAGAAAUCACCCUUCAGCCUCCGGCAGCAGUCAGCUUCUCCCGCAAGUCCACUCCGUCCACGGGAUCUCCUGCCCAGAGUAGCCGGGGAGGAAGUCCUAGUUUCAGACCUCCCAUGGCCUUCACUUCGUUGGCCACUAGCUACCCCCCAUCUCAGUGUCCUUCCCUGCCUGUGGAACCCAUGGAUGUCUUUGGACACAUUUCCUCACCAAGGAGAACCGGGGAGGAGAUUCUUAGACCAGAGCCAACGCCGACAACCAGUUCGGGCUAUCUGGGCAGUGUUGUCGAGACAAGCCACUCCUCAGCUCAAUAGGUAAGGGUGAUCAAUGUCUGAAAGGAAUGGUGCUGGGCUUGUGGGAUGUGGUGGGGGAGAGGGGCAUGGGAAGGGAUGCCAGGGGGGCUUUUUCAAUAACAUUUUUUUCCUUUAAAGGGGAAUAAGGAGUAGGAAAAUCCAGGAAAAUCCUUUGCACACUUAAGUCUCUGUGGCUUUUGGGUUUCCCUGUUCUGCUGUGCACACUGCACUACAGAAAGCCCUUUUCUGUAGAUAAAUAAUUGAAAAUGCUUGUCAUGGUUCUAAGUACAGUCCACCCUUCACAUUUCUGAGUUUCACUUUUAGAGAUCUGAUUAUUCACAGGUUUAUAUUUGUGCUGUUACGCCUGGGGCUAUAACUCUUAGUGAAAGAGGCAUGGACGUGACAUCUUUCCCCAGGGGAUUGCUUCUUGCCCUCUUUUAGGGAAACUGGAACUCCCAAGGACCAAAACACUGUAGAUAACUCAAAACUGAUUUUAUUGUUCACAAAAGGUUAUCUCAAUAAGCUGGAAGUUUCAAAGGGGUAAAGGAAAAUAUACAUUACAGUCUUUGGAUGUUUUAAGUCCAAGGAGCUCUGUAGCUGAGAAGCUUUUCCAGGUCACUCUUUCUCAAUGACUGUGAAUGCCGGAGCAAACUCAGCCUCAGUCCAAAUGGCCUAUGUUUGAAGACACAGUCUUCCUCUGUUGCCAAAGGACUGAUUUGAAGGUGCUUGAGACUCCUCAGCGUCGUUCAGGUUGGCCCUGAAUAUGAAGCGUAAGUCUCAAGGGUAAGAACCUCAGAAUUGGUGCUGAGAGGUAACUUAAUCAAGGGCUUUUAGAGCCAAGUCUCUCUCACACAUCCAUCUGGUAGAAAGCUUGAUGGUGGAAUGAAAAAAGGAAACACUGUCCUACUCCAGGAAGAGGUGGAGCCAAAUAAUUGAGCUGAGCAAGCAAUAUAACUGGUGCAAACAACAUUGAUUGACAGAUAUAAAUAACCAAUCCAACUACAUUUACAGGGUAAGGGCAAAAUCAGGCAUGAUACAACAAUUCAAAUCUUGCAACUUACAGUUUGACAUAUAGAUGGCGCCACUCGUGCCGUCACAAUAUUCUCUCUAGCAGUCACUGGGUCUUCCGGAUGACUUGAUGGUUGACAUCCAUCAGAAGUUGACCAUACCACUGCAUUGGAUCACCUAAAGAUUCCAAUAGAGCAGGGGUUCUCAAAGUGUGCUCCGGGGAGCUCUUGUGGCUUUGUGAAGCAUACUGAGGGGCUCCACAGUUCCCUCCUCCUCCCCCCUUGAAGCUUUCCCUCCUCUUUCCUGCUCCCCACCUCCCUUGCCACCAAAAGCCAUUUUCCUCACCUCCCUCAACCCCAAAAGCCUUUUCCCCUCACCUUCCUUGCUUCCAAAACCCUAUUUCCCUCCCACCACUCAGGGGGUGCUUUGAUUGUGCUUUUUCUGCAUGGCAGAAGGGAGUUGAACUGGAUGGCCCCUGGAAUUUUUGCUAUUAUUAUUAUUAUUAUUAUUAUUAUUAUUAUUAUUAUUAUUAUUAAUUUUAUUAUGACACAGCAAACAAGAUAGAUAUGCUGGAUUUCAUAUCACAAAAUCACAAGUCGAACACUUCCCAAGUGUCUAGGACUGUGUGAUGUAUUUUCGGAUGAUGCGCGCAUAUCCCAGCAGGGUGGCCUUUUGCAGUUGUUGUUGUUGUUAUUAUUAUUAUUAUUUGUAUUAUUAUUAUUAUUAAGGCUUGGUGGCCAUCUAUUGGGGGUGCUUUGAUUGUGCUUUUCCUGCAUGGCAGAAGAGGGUUGGACUGGAUCACCCCUGGGGUUGCUUCUAUUCUAUUCUAUUGCUGUAAUUAUUUGAUACACAACAAGAUCAGUACACAGCAAACAAAUCACUAUGCUGGCUGUUAUCUUGGAUCACACAUCGAACACAUCCCAAGUGUCUAGGACUGUGUGAUGUAUGGGCUAUUAUUAUUAUUAUUAUUAUUAUUAUUAUUAUUAUUAUUAUUAUUAUUAUUAUUUUAUGACACAGCAAACAAGAUAGAUAUGCUGGAUUUCGUAUCAAAAAAUCACAAGUCGAACACUUCCCAAGUGUCUAGGACUGUGUGAUGUAUUUUCGGAUGAUGCGCGCAGAUCCCAGCAGGGUGGCCUUUUGCAGUUGGCAGAUCGUAAUUUUGUCAAUGUCUAUUGUUUCCAAAUGCUGGCUGAGAUCUUUUGGCACGGCACCCAAUGUGCCGAUCACCACUGGGACCACAUGUACUGGUUUCUGCCAGAGUCUUUGAAGUUCAAUCUUGAGGUCCUGAUAGCGGCUGAGUUUUUCCUGUUGUUGUUGUUGUUGUUGUUGUUGUUAUUAUUAUUACAAAGGCUGAGUGGCUUGGGGUGCUUUGAUUGUGUUUUUCCUGCAUGCUAUAAUAUAUACACAUAUCUUGGGGCUCCACGAGAAACUUUUGCUUCAAAAAGGACUCCUCAGCUGAAAAGGUUUGAGAACCCCUGCUAUAGAGAAUACUUCUAUAGGAUUCUCUAAGUCCUCCAGUAUGAUUCUGCAAUCAUCCUUCAGAGGAAAUAAAUCAUAGAGACACCCUGGAGAACCUAACAGUUCUUAGAGAGGUGUUCUCUCUGGUAAAAGAAUGGGGGUUUUGGGGCAUUUUUCCAGUUUUGUGCCCUUAACCCUCACAAUAGUGGAAGGCCUACCAUACUGCUAAGGCAAGAAUGCUAGGUCAAAGAUGUCUGUUACUUAUGUGGAGGGGGGAAUGGUAUAGCUGAAUAGUAUGAGUUUCUGAUUUCUGAUGCUAAUUUAUUAUAAGCUAACUAACUUUUAUCGUUCACUGUAGUUAGAGUGGUUUGCAGUAAAAACAUUAGUUGAUUGGAAUUAGCAAAUGGGACAUGGUGGGUCCUGUUUGGGUACCAAUUAUUGUAUAAUAUUUACAUAAUAAUUUAGUGAAAUUACUGCUAAUGGAGGAAGUUCACAAAUCACAGUUAGUUCCAGGAUACUUGAACAAGUGUGAAUAUCACCGUCUUAUGAAGUGGAAGGGCCAUAGAUGGGACAUUUUUGGGUUGAAAACAGUCAAUUUUUGUCCCAGAUUUGAAGACUGAUUUCUCUUGUAGACAAUUGUUUUUGAGAUAUUUUUAGUGUAAGCACUAACCUCACAAAGCUGGAAGGACCAGAAAGGCUGUUAUUCCAUUUCCCUACCAUGGUGGAAUGUAGAACUAAAGCACUUCUGAAGAAGCUCAAAUUAUGUAGGGCUUUAAAGGUCAAAACCAACACUUUGUAUUUUACCCAGAAACUAACUGGCAACCAGUAGAGUGACUUUAGGAUAGGUAUAAUAUACUCACCUCUGGAUGUUCCAGUAACCAAUCUGGCUGCCGUAUUUUGAACCAAGUGGAGUUUUCAAACUUGGUUCAAAGGUAGCCCAAUAUAAAGCACAUUGCAGAAGUCCAACCUUGAGGUUUCCUGUGCAUGCAUUGCCAUCUUUAGGUCCUCCAAAAUUAGGAAGGGUUGUAGCUGCCAUAUCAACCAAUGCUGAUAAUAAGCACUCCUGAACAUCACAUCUACUUGGUUGACAUUUGGAGAGACAGAUCCAGAAGUCUCCCAAGCUAUGGACACAGUAUUUCAAGGAGAGUGUAACCCCAUCCAGGACUGGUUGUCAUCCCUCCAUUCCCAGAUUAAGACCCUUGAUGGCAAGCACCUCUGUUUUGUCUGAAUUUAGUUUCAAUUUGUUUUUCCUAACCCAGUCCAUUACCUCCUCCAGGCAUUCAUUCAGAGGAUACACACUAUCCUUAGCUGAGGAUAUUUUUGAAGGCAUGGAGAAAUAUAUUUGGGUAUAGUUAGCAUUCUUAUAACACCCGGCUCCAUGCGUAUGGAUGAUCUCCCCCAGCAGUCAUUACAAAAAUAGUAAUAUGUAGUGAAAGUGAUGAAGUAGAUAUCCUGAAGCCAAUGAGUAUCUAAAUGUGUGAUACAGGGACUAAGACUGAUGCAAAGUUAAUGAAUAUCGAAUUAAAGUACAACUGCCAUAUCUGCAGGGGAUACAUUCCUGGAUCUGUCCCUAAAGGGGCCGGGCUGUGACGCAGGCUGGUGGGCAGCUGCUGUAAUAAAUCACUCUGACCAUGAGGUCAUGAGUUCGAGGCCAGCCCGUGGCGGGGUGAGCACCCGUCAAUUAAAAAAAAUAAAUAUAGCCCCUGCUUGUUGCUGAUCUAGCAACCCGAAAGAUAGUUGCAUCUAUCAAGUAGGAAAUAAGGUACCACUUAUAAAAGUGGGGAAGCAAGUUUAACUAAUUUACAACGUUGGAAUAAGGAAGUGAGAAAGUGCCGUCAGAAUGGAUGAUGAAGCAGCUGCUCCCCCCGUGGCCAAAAUCGAACAUCCCCUCAGGAGAAGGUUAAAUUGCCUCUGCAUCUGUCUGUCUGUCUGUCUCUGUCUCGGUUCAAUGUGUUUAUGGGCAUUGAAUGUUUGCCCUAUAUGUAUAUAAUGUGAUCUGCCCUGAGUCCCCUUCAAGGUGAGAAGGGCGGAAUAUAAAUACUGUAAAUAAAUAAAUAAAUAAAAAUUCUCAUCCUUGACGUGGGACAUCUUCAAUGUCCUUUCUAUUGCCAGGAAAAGGAUGUCACGCCUUAUGAAAAUCCUCCCCCAAGUCUCCUGUAUCCAGGAGAAAAUCUUGGCAGGUUUGAUGUCUCUGGUCCCACAAUUUUUCUGUGUCCAGGGCUGGUCAUUUGGCAAAAUUACCAAUUUACCAUCAGAUUGGACUUCAUCCUCACAGAAGCAGAGAGGCCUACCACCAUAGAAAAGCAGAUUUGUGGACAACUAAAAAGGUGAAUGAGUGCAUCCUAAAGCAAAUCAGCCUGAAUUUUCACUAGAUGCCAGUAUGAUUAAACAGAGACUUUGUACUUACAAUGAGAUGACAUGAUAAUGAAUGGUGAAGUGGAAGAGCAUAAGAAGAGAGGGAGACUAAUAAUUAUAAUAAUCAUUCACUAAUAAUGAAUUGAUUCAAUCCAGAAAGACAUGGCCCUCAUUUUGCAAGACCUGAGGAGGGUAGUUAAUGACUGGGACUAUUGGAAGUCUCUCAUUCAUAGACAUCAAACUUGACUUGAUGACAAAUAACAACGAAGAGUAAUCAAAUUACAAAAUAUUAUAUGGAAUAAAAUUAAACAUACUGUUGGCUCUAAACAUCAAAACGUUUAAAGGGCAUUGAUAAAAAAAUUAAUGGGCAUAAAGGCAGUAAAUAGGAGACAAUAAUGAGAAAUAAUGGAUAGGAGGAAUAGUAGGUACAAUAGUAGGCAUCUGAUUUCCUCUUUUGGAGUAAUGUGAAUUUGCACAUAUUACGAAUUCCAUUAACUACCCAAAAGAUAAAUUCUUCCGCAAUUGGGCAAAGCAAAAAAGAGCAAAAAAAACGUAACAGUUAAUUCCUCUCCGCAAGCUAACUUGACCUUCUCUUACAUAGUAAAGAUAUUUCUGACUAUAUACUUCCAUAUCAAGAAGUAAAACUUUUUGUUUGUCUAAACAAAUAGAACAUUUUAAAAACAAAAUCCAUGUUUUCUACAUAUUUAGAUACCCAGUGGCUUUGCUUUAUCAGAUUCAUCAUUUUUACUAUAUACAGUAGUCAUGUUUUUGUAAUUGUGUUGCAGUUGUGCACUCUUCUAGCAUGUUGCUUCGGCUCAUUUCUGCUUGUUUUCAUUUUGUGCAAAAAGGGAAAAGAAUCCCAGUUCCAUCUUCGAAAUUGAAUCAUAGAGUUGGAAGAGACCAUAAACGUUAUCCAGUCCAACUCCUUCCCAUCUCAUUCUUGUUGAGUUAGGAAGAAAUAGUUAUGCCAUAUCUAAAACUCUCCCAAUCCUGGCACAUAGUGACUAUACUUACACAAAGUUAUGCCAGGUACAAAGUAGUCUGAAGUAAUGUCCAACACCACUAACCUGGAUGAGGUUCAGAUUCAGCACAACACCCGCAGAUCGGGUGUCAUUUUAGCUGGCACUGAGCAAUCUUGAUGAGUUUGGAAUAAUUCUGGAGCAAGUAUAUAUCCAUUCAAAGGACUAAAGCACAGAUUUUCUUAAAUAUAGUUAGCAUGUAAACACAUACUUUAAAAAAAUCAACCUCCAAGUAGCCUGGGGUGGAUUGAGGUCACAAUGAAGCUAAUGGGACCUCCAUGUGAUACCUCUAUGUCACAUCUAAUGAAAGGUUUGCCUUCAAUAUAUCAACUGAUAUUUGCUCCAAAAAUUAUGCAAUUCCCCCACACCCCUGUGCCUGCAAUUCCUUUUAUUCAUUGCGCCCAUAGAAAUACCGUGUUUUCCCGAAAAUAAGACAGUGUCUUAUAUUAUCUUUUGCUCCCAAAGAUGUUCUAGGUCUUAUUUUCAGGGGAUGUCUUAUUUUUCCAUGAAGAAGAAUUCACAUUUAUUAUUGAACAAAAAAAAUGAACAUUUAUUAUAUACUGUACAGUGGUUUUCAUCACAAACCAACAUAACCAAACCAGACAAACUGUGACUCCUGUCAAGAAUUUCUUAUUACAGUAGAGUCUCGCUUAUCCAAGCUUCACUUAUCCAAGCUUCUGGAUUAUCCAACCCAUUUUUGUGGACAAUGUUUUCAAUAUAUCGUGAUAUUUUGGUGCUAAAUUCGUAAAUACAGUAAUUACAACAUAACAUUACUGCGUAUUGAAUUACUUUACUGUCAAAUUUGUUGUAUAACAUGAUGUUUUGGUGCUUAAUUUGUAAAAUCAUAACCUAAUUUGAUGUUUAAUAGGCUUUUCCUUAAUCCCUCCUUAUUAUCCAAGAUAUUCACUUAUCCAAGCUUCUGCCGGCUCAUUUAGCUUGGAUAAGUGAGACUCUACUGUAUUACUAUUAUUUCCAUGUACAACUUGUAUGUACAUUUACCGAUUCUGCAUGCUCUGGUGUUUUGUUUGGCGGGCGCCGGGCAUGCUUCCAAACAAAAACUUUGCUAGGUCCUACUUUCGGGGGAGGCCUUAUAUUUAGCAAUUCAGCAAAACCUCUGCUAGGUCCUAUUUUUGGGGGAUGUCUUAUUUUCGGGGAAACAGGGUACGUGUUAUUGAAACCAUUUGCACAUUUAAUAUAGAUCUGUUAUUGAAACCAUUAAUGUAAGAAGCAUGGCAGUCCUUCAUAACUUAUAAGUAUGACCCAUGGAUUGAAUUCCUUGUAUGGCAGCUUGGCAAGAACUUGUCUUAAGGUCUUGUUCUUGCAGUUUUUCUAGCUAUUGACUUAUUGAACCCUUAGUAGGCUUCCAUAAAUGGCUUCUUAGCAAACUUUUUCUCCAAAGGGCUGAAUGCUGGGCAUGUCUUGAUUUAUAACAUGUAGUUUGAUCUACUAGGAUGCCCUCUUUAAACAAGCAGGGGCUGGGUCAUUUUACCAUAAAUGAAAGCUGGAGAGAUGAAAAAUGACUGUAAGUGUUGGGAUUUUUUGGCUGUUUUGUAAGACCAAAGCCAAGUGACUGCUGUAUGAUAUGAGGUUGUAAAGUUGUCAGUGAGUGAAAGGUUGUGGCAACUUUAUGAAAAGGCCAGUGAGACCAGCUCCCUGUUUUUAUGGUGCUGUAAAACUGAUGGGAAACAUGGUUUAUGAGAUGUGUAUAAAAGCCUCCAACCAACAUGACAGAAGUAUUAUUGUGAGCGCAAGAGCUUCUCUCUCUUCUGAGAGGAAUGCAAACAAAUGUGGACAAACAUCUGGAACAUUGCCUGUAACGUCUCUAGAUGAUUAUCUUUAUGAAAUGUAAAAUGUAAAUGCAAUCAAAUAACCAUUCUGUUAUUCCUAGAACUGGGGGAAGCUUUUCAAUAAUUGAUCAUGGAGGUUAAUCUCUAAGCCCAUUAAGUAUCAGGACCUGAAUAAUUUAUAUCAGGUCUUCCCAGCUCACAGCCCACUGGGCCUAGUACUACUCAUCAAGGGAGCUAGCUAUAUCUGUCUGACGGGGAGAUUUUUGUGGAUUGUAGGAUAGGAAAGAACAGAACAUAGACAUCUGCUUUCUGCAAAGUCAGAUUAUGUUACUACGGUAUCUAGUAAGGUUAUUAUUUCCAGACUGGAAAUAACUCUAUCUCCAGAAAAGACAUUUGUCCCCUGGGACCGUACCUUCUGAGUGCAAAACAUGAUGUCUGUCAUUGAGCUAAACAGGCAUGCCUCACUUAAUAAAGCUUCUGACAAAGAAGUUUCUUUUGGCUGACCCUAUUUUUUUUUGUUCUUGUCUACUGUCUGGCUAGAAGCAGUGAGAAAUACAUAGUAGGCCCUUGGUAUCUACUUGAGUUUGGUUUCAGGAAUCCCCAUGGAUACCCAAAAUCUGUGGAUACUUAUGGCAAUUAUAUACAAUGGUACAGUCAAGUGCAAUCCAUAUAUAAAAUGGCAAAAUCAAGGUUUGCUUUAUGGGUUGUUUUUUUUUUGUAAUUCCAAGCCAUUGAUGAUAGAGUCCUUGGAUCAGGGGUCCCCAAACUACGGCCACGUGUGGCCCAUCGAAGCCAUUUAUCCGGCCCCCGUGGCGGAAGCUCCCUUCUCCGCUGAUCCAAAGCAGAGGUCCUGAAACUUUUUAAGUCAAGUGCCAGUUCACGGUCCGACCCUCAGACUUUUGGGGGGCUGGACUUUAGCCAUGUAUAAAUAUGUGACGGGAAGUCAUAGUGAGGAAGGAGCAAACUUGUUUUCUGCUGCUCUGGAGACUAGAAUGUGGAACAAUGGCUUCAAAGUACAGGAAAGGAGAUUCCACCUGAACAUUAGGAAGAACUUUCUGUGAGAGAUGUUCAGCAGUGGAAAUCUCUGCCCCAGAGUGUGGUGGAGGCUCCUUUUUUGGAAGCUUUUAAUCAGAGGCUGGAUGACCAUUUGUCAGGGGUGCUUUGAAUGUGAAUUUCCUGCUUUUUGGACUGGAUGGUACAUGCCUUGGUUACAUCCCGGUUGGACUACUGUAAUGCACACUACAUGGAGUUACCUUUGAAAAGUGCUCAGAAACUUCAGUUGGUCUAAAGAGCAGCAGGCUGCUAACUGGGGCUGGCUAGAAGGAGUGGCCAACUCUGCUGUUGCAAGAGCUCCACUGGCUAUUGUGAGUUUUAAAAGGCUAUUUUAAGUGUAUAUGUUAUAUUUUAAUUUGUACCAUUUAAUUGUGUGUUUUUUUAACUUUUGUAUUGCGCGUUUUAAAUUUUGACUAAAGUGCGGGAUUGUUAGCUGCAUUGAGCCCCUAUGGGGAGAAAGUUGGUGUAUAAAUAAAGUUAAUAAUAAUAAUAAUAAUACUCAUUAUCGGAUUAUUUGUGUUUGUUAAAUGCUUUCCAGACCAUCCCCCACUGAGACAAUUGUGUGAGAGAACAGAGAAGUGAAGUCCUGUGAUAAGUCUCUGGCAAAGUUGCUCUUGUACUAUUGUAAUUGUGAUUUGACCACCUCCUCUGAUAAGCUGAGCUCCUUAAUAAAGUAUGCAUUUCAUUAAAGUAAAAAAAUGUUGAUAUAUUAAAGGGAAAGUGUAUCCAUUUUGUUGUGAAUAUCCUCACCUGGAGCAGGUCAUCUCUGCUCUUAAUCACAUCAUUGCAAUGGGAAACCCAAAAGACACAAAGCCAGUUGGUGGGCACACGUUGUACAUCACCACUGAACCCGUUCCUGUGUGCUCUUCCUUCUGCUCAUAGCUUUAGAUGGGCCUAGGUGGGCUGGCAUAUAUACUUGGGUGGGACCUUCACAGUUGUCACUCUGCUGUCUUUCUUUGGAGGAUGAGGACUCUUGUCUGUCUGGGGUUUUUGUUUAUUUGUUUGUUUGUUUGUUUUUGGAAGAAAAUAGUUUUUCCCUUUAAAGGCUGUCCAUGUGCUGGUCCUUCUACAUGCAUGUCACAGUUGCUCUGGCUUGGGAGGUUGUGGGUUUCUUUGUCCGAGUGCUUUUAUCUCUUUUGUUUUUCCAUAAUUUUUUACUUCUUAUAUUUUGCCUUCUCUGUUGUUUGUUCUUACUCCAUUGUUCCAAAAUCUCCUUUCUCCUUCUCUCUCCUUUCUUCUCAGCCUACCUUUCCUCUUCUCUCCUACAUGCUCCUCUUUUCAGCAUGGUGAAAACUUUUUUUGGGCAGACAACCCAUGCUGCCUUUGCAAACCUGGUGAAGGGAUGCCUUUCUCUGCUGUGUGCCCUGCUCUUUAUCCGCUUUCCUCUUGUCCCAUUGCGUUGCUGCUGCUGCUGCUGGAAGCUGGCUCGGUAGUGAAACUUGAGAGGGUGGGAAUGGAGCAUUCCUCUUGCUUUUUUUUCCUGCUGCAACUUUUGUUUGCAAAUUGCUGUAGAACAAGUCCCGCUAAAACAUUGCUGCUUCCUGGAUUUUUGAAGUGACUUGUUAAUCCUCUAGAAAGGGAAAGGCGGUGUCUCUCUACUUUUGAAAGUGUCAAAAUACGAGAUGCCUCUUUCCAUUCUGUUGGUAAAUGCUUCUGAGAUGAUGACAUUCUUAUCACUCCCUGGUGUUUCACUUUGCUGCAAGCGGCCUGGAGUCUUCCUUUGUCUCCCUUGACUGGUUAUUUCAAUGUUCAGCCUAGAAAGAAGAUGCCAAAAAGAAACUUCUUGGCUUCUACUUGUGCAAACGUGUAGAGCUGCACAAUUCAGUUGCCCUUUGUUGUCUGCAUUUAACAACACUGCAUCAAUUCCCCAGAAAGAAUGGACAAAUCCUGUAUCUCCUCUAGGUAUUUUCUCUUCCUUUGCCUGAAUGCCGUGGAAGGAAGGAAGAGGAGCGGUGAAGUGUCAUAUUGUACUUCUCAUGCUAUAGCUUUGUUAUCAUUUCUGCUUUGAAACUUGCUGGCUUGAAUUGGGAACAACGCCAAUUUGAAAAGCUCAAAAUUGGUGGGACCUCGGUUUAGAAUUUCUUUUUAGAAUCUUGGCCAUAAAACAUUCCUUUGUAUAGAAAACAUCCCCAAAUAUUUGAUCCCACGAGAAGCAAUGAACAAAGUUGUAAUUUUCAAAGAACUUGAGCCUUCUUUGCCAAAGAGUACUGGUGCAUCACCAUACUACGAAUCCCAUGUUUCCAUGUCAUUGAGCCAUGGCAGUUCAAGUAUCAACUGUAUUAAUUCUACAGUGUAAAUGUAUUCUGAGGUAUCGAUUGCUGUUAUUGUUGUUGCAUGCCUUCAAGUCUUUUCCAACUUAUGGCAACCCUAAGGGGAAUAUAUCAUGGGGCUUUCUGGAGAUGGGAGUGUGUCACUCACCCAAGGUUUUCCAGGGGUUUUUGAUAGCCUAGUAGGCAAUUAAACUCUGCAUUUCAGGGUCAUAGUCCAAUGCUCAAACCGCCAUACCAUACUGAUCUCAAGUCAAAAACUGAAAUGACACACUGUGUUUCUUUUUAUGGAGUGUCUAUCCAUUCAAAGUUGAUAUUUCUGGAAAAAAAAUCUCAUCAUUCAUUGUAAACUUUAUUCCUGGUAUCUUUUUAAAAAUAAUAAUAAUAAUAAUAAUAAUAAUAAUAAUAAUUAUUAUUAUUAUUAUUAUUAUUAUUAUUAUUUUAUUAUGACACAGCAAACAAGAUAGAUAUGCUGGAUUUCAUAUCACAAAAUCACAAGUCGAACACUUCCCAAGUGUCUAGGACUGUGUGAUGUAUUUUCGGAUGAUUUGUGCAGAUCCCAGUAGGGUGGCCUUUUGCAGUUGGCAGAUCGUAAUUUUGUCAAUGUCUAUUGUUUCCAAAUGCCGGCUGAGAUCUUUUGGCACGGCACCCAGUGUGCCCAUCACCACCAGGACCACAUGUACUGGUUUCUGCCAGAGUCUUUGAAGUUCAAUCUUGAGGUCCUGAUAGCGGCUGAGAUUAUUAUUAUUAUUAUUAUUAUUAUUAUUAUUAUUAUUAUUAUUUAUAUCCCUCCCUAUCUCCCCAAGGGGACUCUGGGUGGUUUACAACAAACAUUGGCAAACAUUUAAUAGAAGACAUUUUGUCUGAAAUUCAACAGAACCACAGAAGAUAGAGACUGAUGGCCAUUUAAACAGUAAUCAUUGAAGGGUCACCUUCUGAAUCUUCAUACUAGAAUCUGAGAAGUAUCCAAUUCAAUAAAUAUUUAUUCCUGCUUCAUAUAGUCAGCCCUUUGCAUUUGUGGGUUUGAAAUUUGUGGAUCUGAUUAUUCACAGAUUUGGACAAUAUGUUCUAUUUAGGAAUGUCUAGGUCCUCCAGUGCAACUCCAUUGUCCACCUCCAUGCUGAAGGACCUAGAGACGCCAAGGGAGAACAUUUCUCUAGAUAUUUACGGGUCCUGUAUUAGAAUUCUAUGGUCAACUACAGGUUCUGUCAUGUAAAAAUGUGCUUUUUAUUUGCAGUUUUGCCACUUCCAUUGAGGUCUUGUAUCCCUGACCCAAGCAAAUGUGGAAGGCUGACUGCAAUUCUGUGUUUUCCCACACUUUUAAAAGAAGGCCAGAAAACAUGCUUCAAUCAGACAGUAGAAGGGCACCAGCAAGGUCCAUGGAAGCCAUUAGCUAUGGCCACAAAGCUAACCUCUGAUACAGGAGGUGCUGUUAUCAUUAAUAUUUUGAAAGGAGGUUGGAUUAAAGUGCCCAUCCCUUUGCCAUUGACUUUUCUAUCUUAUGUUUACGGAAGUUGCUGUCUUAUCACUAUCUCGGACGCCAAAGUCCUCAGUAUAUUCAUAUAGCAAAUGCAGUCACCUAAACCACUGAGCUGUGCUUUUCUAAAAGUUGUUUUAAAUAUUUUGAUGGCCUAGAUACAUCCUUGUACUGUACUGAAUGCAGGAAGGUUGCUGGUCGUCUGUGACUUUCAAGACUACUUGGAAGAAUUCCCCUCCCUUUGAUCUGUGUGCUGUGUUGUGUGCAUCUCUAAUGGAUUUAUAGAACUUGCCAGAGUCAACCCUUGGAAGCAUAUGAAGGAUGUGCAUGUAUACUGGAAAUGUUUUAGACUGUAAAGGUCUUCAUUACAUCUGUCAACCCUACCAUCUUUCUACCUCAAUCUUCUCUUUUUGUGCUAUCUGGCCAGGGUGCGUCAUUUGCAGCUAGAUCUCAUAAUCUGUCCCAUCACUGAACACCUGUAUGUGCCUUUUGGGUUUUUUCUAUCCCCUUUCCUUCCAACAAGUGCCUUAUCAAGCCUUAGCUGUUGCCACUUUAAUUAUUCCUUUAUUUUUUAAACAUUUGCAGAUCAUUUUAAGCCAAGAGUCUUGGUACCUAUUUUUUCCAGCAUGAUUCGAUUAUGUUCAGGAGUUUGAUUCUGUUCACAGGAAUGGCCAAGGUUUGGAGUCCUAAUGUCUUUCUAUAACCUUUGCCUGGUUCGACCUACACAGUAUUGAUUAUGGGGCAAAAACAUUAAAUUCCCUAGAGAAAGAAAUGGCCGGGUUGGGACUGGGGCUGGGGAGAUAACAUUUAAUAUAGUUCCCAAGAGGUGAGAAACUGGUUUCACCUCCAUCACCAGUAUAUGGGAUAGACCCAGCUAUUCCACCAUUUUAGGGCCUCCUCAUCUUUUCUUUUUCCAUGACCAGCCUGAUGGAGGUUGAAUGCUCUCUUUCCCACUAGAGCGACCUCCCUUGAGACAGAAUAUAGCAGGGGCCCACUGAUGGCGCUUGUCUGCUUUGUCUUUCUAGAAAACGUCCAUCUCCAACCCGGAGCGCUGCUGCACCUGAGAGGCUCGAAGCUCUGAAAUACCAGCGGAUAAAGAAGCCCAAAAAGUCAUCCAAGGGCUCCUCGAAAUCCAAAAAACAAAUCAAUGGUUCAGCCUCCCAGGUUCAGCAAC